rnacentral:lncRNA from 1 species
AUUACAUAGAAUUAUAUAUAAAAUAAUUUAGGUUGAAAAAGACCUCUGAGACCACUGAACCCAGAUCAGCAUUGUCAAAUCCACCACCAAACCUGUCCCCAAGUGCCACAACCAUGUCUUCCAAAUACCUCCAGGGGUGGUGACUCAACAGCUUCUCUGGGUAGCCUAUGACAAUAUUUGGUAAUACCAGUUACUAUGAUGAAAUUUAACUCCACCCCAGCCAAAACCAGCACAUAAGUAAAGGCUGUACCUGUAUGAAAAUUGCAUUAAAAAAUUCAUUUUCUUAUCAUCUUCUUUUCAGCUCUGUUACUCUACUGCCUGUGUGAAUCUGCCAAGAAUGUUGAUUUACACCUAUGGUGGUAUCGAAGGACCAUCUUGGAGGUUACCCUGUUGGGACUGCCAAGGUCCUUGCAGUUUUUCACUCCACUUUGUGCACUUUCCUAUCUUGCCUGGAACUGAUGACAGCAUUCCAGAAUAUAUACCAGUGUUUGCUGACUGCCACUUCUGGUGGCCAUCCGUUAUGCCUCUGCAUUUCACAACUGGAGAGAGGAAAGGAAGACGCUUCAAGUACACAUAA